CAAUAAGUGUUUUAUGGCACUUUUAAAUCCAUAUCCACCUUGUGUGCAAUGUCAGUCGAUCUUCUUCAUGGAGAUCGACCAAACAUCAACCUUUAUCUUUUAACUCUUUGUCUGAAAAAUAUUAUGAAUAAACAAUUCAAAAUA
rnacentral:misc_RNA from 1 species